GGCUUCCCUGCUGGUGUUGGCUUCGAGAGCUCUGGCUUAUCAGGACUCCGUAGUUCUCCAACAGAGAAAUCUUGAAAAGGACUGACCAGUUUUUGCAGUUCUAAAACCAUGGCCCAUGGUUCAGUGACGUUCAGGGAUGUGGCCAUAGACUUCUCACAGGAAGAAUGGGAAUUCCUGGAUCCUGCUCAGAGGGACUUAUAUAGGGAUGUAAUGUGGGAGAACUACAGCAACUUCAUUUCACUAGCAGGACCUUCCAUUUCUAAACCAGAUUUGAUUACCUUAUUGGAUGAAGAAGGGAAGGAACCUGGGAUGGUUGUGAGGGAAGGGACAAGAAGAUACUGCCCUGAUUUGGAGUCCAGAUACAGGACCAAUACUUUAUCUCCAGAAAAGGACAUUUAUGAAAUAUAUUCAUUUCAGUGGGAUAUAAUGGAAAGAAUUAAAAGCUAUAGCCUUCAGGGUUCCAUUUUUAGGAAUGAUUGGGAAUAUAAGAGCAAGAUUGAAGGGGAAAAGGAACAACAAGAGGGAUAUUUUGGGCAAGUGAAAAUUACCUCUGAAAAAAUGACCACUUACAAAAGGCACAAUUUUCUUACUGAGUAUCAGAUCGUUCAUAAUGGAGAAAAGGUGUAUGAGUGUAAGGAGUGUAGGAAGACCUUUAUUCGUCGCUCAACACUUAGUCAACACCUGAGAAUUCAUACUGGUGAGAAACCUUAUAAGUGUAAGGAAUGUGGGCAGGCCUUUAGACAGCGUGCACAUCUUAUUCGACAUCACAAACUUCACACUGGUGAGAAACCCUAUGAAUGUAAGGAGUGUGGGAAGGCCUUUACAGUGCUCCAAGAACUUACUCAACAUCAGAGACUUCAUACGGGUGAAAAACCCUAUGAAUGUAAGGAAUGUGGAAAGGCCUUUAGAGUACAUCAGCAACUGGCUCGACAUCAGAGAAUUCACACCGGUGAGAAACCCUAUGAAUGUAAGGACUGUGGAAAGACCUUUAGACAGUGUACACACCUUACACGCCAUCAGAGACUUCAUACUGCUGAAAAGCUCUAUGAAUGUAAGGAAUGUGGGAAAGCCUUUGUAUGUGGUCCAGACCUUAGAGUACAUCAGAAAAUUCAUUUUGGUGAGAAACCCUAUGAAUGUAAGGAAUGUGGAAAGGCUUUUAGAAUAUGCCAACAACUUACUGUUCAUCAGAGUAUUCAUACUGGUGAGAAACCCUACGAAUGUAAGGAAUGUGGGAAGACUUUUAGAUUAAGACAACAACUAGUUCGCCAUCAGAGAAUACAUACUCGUGAGAAACCCUAUGAAUGUAUGGAAUGUUGGAAGACCUUUAGUAGUUACUCACAGCUUAUUUCACACCAGAGCAUUCAUAUUGGUGAGAGACCUUAUGAAUGUGAAGAGUGUGGAAAGGCCUUUAGACUGCUCUCACAACUUACUCAGCAUCAAAGUAUUCACACUGGUGAGAAACCUUAUGAAUGUAAGGAAUGUAGAAAACCUUUUAGACUGCUCUCACAACUCACCCAACAUCAGAGUAUUCACACUGGUGAGAAACCUUAUGAAUGUAAGGAAUGUGGUAAGGCUUUUAGACUUUAUUCAUUCCUUACUCAACACCAGAGAAUUCAUACUGGUGAGAAACCCUACAAGUGUAGGGAGUGUAAGAAGGCCUUUAGACAGCAUUCACACCUUACUCAACAUCAGAAGAUUCAUAAUGGAAUUUAAUAGAAGAAAGCCUUCAAAUGUAUAUGAUGUUACAGAACAUCAGAAAAUUCAUUUUUGAGAAAAUGUGUUUCAUGCUCAAUUCCAAGCAUAAGAAAUUUUAUAUUAGAAAAAGAAUAUGUUGAUUUAAAAGCCUUCCAACACCAUUUAAACAUGGUUUAUCUUCAGCAAAUUCCUAUGAGAGAAUAAUGUAAUGAAUGUAGGAAAAUCUUUAGCCUUAUCUGUCAUUAUCUCCCUUUCUCCACUUUAUUACCAGUGCGAUUUAUUGGACAAGAUACUAAGCUUCUGUGCCUCAUUUUGCUGACUUGUAAAAUGGUAAUAAUAGUACUUACAUGUAUUAUUUAUUGCUGUGUAAUAAAUUACCACAAACUUAGUAGCAUAAAAUAACAUACAUUUAUAUCUUAUAAUUUGGAUCAGGAGUAUAGGCAUGACUUAGUUGGGUCCUCUGCUUCAGGGUCUCUUGCAAGGCUACAGAUUUCAGCCAGGGCUGAGGUCUCAUCUGAAGGCUCAACUGGGGAAGGAUGCACCUCCAGACUAACAUAGUUGUUACCCAGAUGUAUUUCCGUGAGGCCUGUUGCAUUGAGAUUCUCAGUUUCUAGCUGGCUGUUGGCUGAACACUGACUGCAGUUCCUGGCCACAAUAGCCUCAUCAGCAUGGCUGCUUGCUUCAUCAAGGCAUGCAAGCCAAAAGGGAGGAGAGUCUGCUAGCAAGAUGGAAGUUACCAUCUUGUGUAAUCUAAUCAUGGAAAUAACAUUCCCUCAACUUCUACUGGUAGAAGUAAGUUACUAGGAUAGCCCACACUCAAGAGAAGGGGAUGAUACAAGAGUGUGAAUAAGUCCUGGAGACAGGACCAUUAGGGGGCCUGUUUAGAGUCAGCCUGCCACACUGUGGAAUAGGAUUGUUGCAAGGAGUAAGUAGUUAAUACUUGGAGGAAUCACAGUCAUAUAGCAUGUAUUCUGUAAAUAUUAUCUAUAAUUGUUAUUAUUGUCAUUAGUAUUAGUGAAUUCACAUAAAAGGAAGAUCUGUAGACAUCAUAAAUGUAGAAAUGCCUCCUGUCACCUCUCAGAAAUUAUUAAACAUAAUUUAUUCUAGGUAAAAUUUAGAUUGUAGUGAAUGUAGGAAAUUCUUCAGCACUUGAGCUGCAUUAGAAAUUUCAUGCCAAAAAUGAAUUUCAUGAAUGUGAGGUCACCAGUAGUACAGCUGUUGAAGAAUUAGAGGGAAAUAGGAAAUGAUUUUCCCAUAAUUCCAAAAAGCAAAAGGCUUACAAUCCCUGUUGUCUGACCACAGUUUAAAAUUAAUUAGAAACUAUCAAAAAUGUGGCUUAAAAGAAAUUAACCACCUAGGAAUUUAAUACUGUUGUAUAUAUUUAUGUGUGUGUAUAAAACUCCUGUGGGAAAGAAACAAAACAUCAUUCUGUAAGUUAGUAUACUUUUUGAUGCUCAAAAUGCCAUAUCUUCAACCAGUAGGAGUUGUUUCAAGUUGAGUUUUUGAUGUGAUCCCACCAAUAAUUUGGUAGUUUACUUGAUUGUGGCUGCAUAAUUUGGUGACCUAUGAAAGAUGCUAGAGCACCAAUUUAUAAUUUUUUUUUUUGAGACAGGGUGUCACUUUGUCCCCCAGGCUGGAGUGCAGUGGCACAAGCAUAGUUCACUGUACCCUGUUCCUCCUGGGUUCAAGUGAUUCUCCCACCUAAAUUUUUUUUUUUUUUAGAGAAAGGGUCUCACUAUGUUGCCCAGGCUGGUCUUGAACUUCUGGGUUCAAGUGAGCCUCCCUCCUUGGCCUCCAAAGGUGCUGGGGUUACAGGCAUGAGCCACCGCACCCAGCCCAACUCAUUAUUCUUGAAAUCAAUAAGUCAGAGAAAAAAUUGUCAUUUAGUUUCCUUUUCCCAUGUGAACCAAAUUUCAGGGUUCCCAGAAGUUCAUCAAAUUCAAAUGAAUUUGGCCUGGCACAGGGGCUCACACCUGUAAUCCCAGCACUUUGGGAAGACAAGGUGG